rnacentral:rRNA from 1 species
GUGUCAGCAGCCGCGGUAAUACGGAGGAUCCAAGCGUUAUCCGGAAUCAUUGGGUUUAAAGGGUCCGUAGGCGGUUUAAUAAGUCAGUGGUGAAAGCCCAUCGCUUAACGAUGGAACGGCCAUUGAUACUGUUAGACUUGAAUUAUUGGGAAGUAACUAGAAUAUGUAGUGUAGCGGUGAAAUGCUUAGAUAUUACAUGGAAUACCAAUUGCGAAGGCAGGUUACUACCAAUACAUUGACGCUGAUGGACGAAAGCGUGGGGAGCGAACAGGAUUAGAAACCCUAGUAGUCC